rnacentral:rRNA from 1 species
CCCGCUGAACUUAAGCAUAUCAAUAAGCGGAGGAAAAGAAACUAACAAGGAUUCCCCUAGUAACUGCGAGUGAAGCGGGAAAAGCUCAAAUUUAAAAUCUGGUAGUCUAUGACUAUCCGAGUUGUAAUUUAGAGAAGUGUUAUCCGCGUUGGACCGUGUACAAGUUUCCUGGAAUGGAGCUAUCAUAGAGGGUGAGAAUCCCGUACAUGACACGGACUACCAAGGCUUUGUGAUGCGCUCUCGAAGAGUCGAGUUGUUUGGGAAUGCAGCUCAAAAUGGGUGGUAAAUUCCAUCUAAAGCUAAAUAUUGGCGAGAGACCGAUAGCGAACAAGUACCGUGAGGGAAGGAUGAAAAGAACUUUGGAAAGAGAGUUAAACAGUACGUGAAAUUGCUGAAAGGGAAACGCUUGAAGUCAGUCGCGUUGGCUGGGGAUCAACCUUGCUCUUUUGCUUGGUGUACUUCCUAGUUGACGGGUCAACAUCAGUUUUGACUGUUGGAUAAAGGUUGAGGGAAUGUGGCAUCCUCGGAUGUGUUAUAGCCCUUGAUUGUAUACAAUGGUUGGGACUGAGGAACUCAGCACGCCGCAAGGCCGGGUUUUAACCACGUUCGUGCUUAGGAUGUUGGCAUAAUGGCUUUAAUCGACCCGUCUUGAAACACGG